rnacentral:lncRNA from 1 species
AAAAACAAUAGAAUGUUAUUUCUCACUCACACAAUAGUCCAGUGAGGAUGUCCCUGGUGGGCAAAGACUCUUGUCUACCAAAUGGGAUGGGGACUCAGUUUCCUUCCCUCUUGUGACUCUGGCAUUGCCUAGAGCCACAUGAUUACCUGUACUGAAUCUGUAGAAAGAGAAAUAAGCAGUGUAGAGAUGAUAUGUCUGUUUUCUGAUAUCCUCAGCCUAGAAAAAACACACAUUACUUCUGUUCUUAUUCUCAUACUAGUUUAUCACCCAUUGUCCAAAUGCACCAUGUGGCCACACCUAGAUGCAAGGGUGGGUUGGAAAAUGUAGCACCUGGCUGGGCAGUUGUUCCUCAGCAUUGACUCUGUGCUAUGGAAGGGCUUCCUAAGUUUUUGUGGACUGCUAUCCCAGUCUCUCACCACUAUACAAUCUUCAUAAUUUUCCCUUUAAAUGGCUGAGAGAAAAUUUUGAACAAAAGCUACAAACAUUUUUCAGAUUCUUGAUUCUCCAGACUUAUUACUUGAGGGCAGUGACUAAAUUAUAUUCAGUUCUAUAUCAGAAGGUUCUUCCAUAUUGCCGGUUUCAUGGUAGAUACUCAAUAAAAUGAGUUGAAUGACUACAUAAAUUUUAGCAAGAGCAUAUGGAAAAUAAUUUAUCAUGACUUUGGGUAAUACUAUAGGUGUAAUUAUUGUCCUUUCUCUUUCCUGACUUGAUUAAUAGCACCACUAUCCAUUAAGUUAUUAAAGGUAGAAAGCUGAGAUUAUUCUUGACUCCUUUUCUCACUGGUCCAGUAUUAGUUAUUUAUUGCAGUGUAAGAAAUUACCAUGAAACUUAGUGGCUUAGUUGGGGCUUGAUGGGGGCUGGAGGAUCCACUGCAAGAUGGCUCAGUCACUUGGCUGGCAAGGUGGUGCUGGCUGUUAGCCUCCCAUCUGAUCCUCCUCUUUCCGCUCCUGCCACUCUUCAAGGUAUUUUUUCCAGAGCAGCCAUUCAUCAUUCAUUUAUUUUUUCCCAUUAAUUAAUUCAACAGAUAUUUAUUGUAUACUUACCAUAUGCCAGAUUUGUUCUAGGUUCUUGGAAUAUAGCAGUGAAAAAAAAACAGUCCUUGGAUCUUAUAUACAGUGGGGAAAUAAACAUAUAAUGUAGAAAAUUAGAUGGUAAUAUGUGUGAGCACAUAUAUUUAUUAUUUCUCAUCAUUUCUGAGACAGGAGAUGGGUAUUCUGGCUUGGGGACUCACAUGAGGUCACAGUUACAUGUUGGUGUUGGUUUGGUCAUAUGAAGGCUUGGUGGGGGCUGGAGGAUCCACUGUGAGAUGGCUCAAUCCCUUGGCUGGAAAGUUGGUGCUGGCUGUUGUUGGCAGGCCUUGCUUCCUCUUCACAGGGCUUCUUGAGUGUCUUCAUGACAUGGCGGCUGGCCUAUCCCAAAAUAAGCUGUCCAAGAGAGCAGGGCAGAAGUGUCCAUGCCAUUUAUGGCCUCACCAUGGAAGUCACACACAAUCACUUCUGCAAUAUAUACUGAUUACCCAGAUCUGCAUCGUUCAGUGUGGGAGGGGACCACAAAAAGGCACAAAUGCCAAAAGGCAAGGACCAUUGGGGCCAUUUUGGAGGCUAUUUACCACAGCCCCUCUCUUCCAUAUUCCAGCCCACCUGCAUAUUCUGUUGAUCCUCCUUCCAAAAAUGUAUCUCAAACCAAAUGACUAAUUUUCAUUUCUGUUGGCUCUAGCCUAGUCCAAGACUCUAUCAACACUUGACUUGAAGAGUCUCCCGUCUGAUAUUCCUCUUUCUGCUCUUGCCCCCCUUCAAGGUAUUUCUCCCAGAGAAGCCAUUCAUCAUGCAUUCAUUAUUCUCCAUUCAUUAAUUCAACAAAUAUUUAUUGUACGCUUACCACAUGCCAGAUUUAUUUUAGGUUCUUGGGAUAUAGCAGUGAAAAGUCCUUGGGCUUUACAUACAGUGGGAAAAUAAAUAAUAUGGAAAAUGUUAAAGGCAACAUAUGUGAUCCAGAAAAUUAUAGCACGGUGAAGGAAAUAGGAAACAAUAGAAAAGUUAGGGACUUCUGGCUAUAGUAUUAUAUAGGGCUGUCAAGGGUGCUAUCUCUGAUUAGCUUACAUUGAAACAGAAACCCAAAAGACAGUAGAGGGCAGGUAUGUUAAUAUCUGGGCAAGUAUUCUAAGCAGAGGAAAAAGAAAAUGCAAGGGCCCUGAGGCAGGAUCGUGUUUGGUAUGUUUGAGGAAUAGCUGUUCUGUUCCGUUGUGGCUGGAACAGAAGGAGGAGGGCGGGAGGGGAGGGUGAUGGAGAAUGGUACAUGAUGGAGGUCAGAUUAUGUAGGGCCUUGUAGACUACAAUGAAGACUUUGGCUUUGUUUUGGGUUGGUGGGGGACAAGGAAAGCUAUUGGAAUGUUUUAGUGACUUGAUGUGACUUACUUUUUAAUAGGAACAUUUGGGCUGCUCAGCCCAUGAUGUUUAAAAAUGCCAUCAGGUCACUUCCACUGUUUAAAACCUUUCAAUGGAUUCUGGUUGUACUUAGAAUAAAAUCUAAGCUCCCUUAGCUAUUAUUAUUAUCUCAUUAUUAAAAUUGACAUCCUUUAUUCUCUAUUACAGCAGUCUAAUUCCUUCCUAAUAUGUACCUCACUAGUAACUAUUAUUAUUAUUGCUUAUUUGUUUAUAAUCUGUCUCCUCUACUUGAAAAUAUGUAGCCUGGGGAUCUUGUGGAUUUCCAUACUAAAUCAUCCCAAGGCCACUUUGCUUUUGAGCUCUGUGUGUGUGUGUGUGUGUGUGUUUUGAUCUCUUCUGUAAUUUUUUUUCCCCUGAUCUCGCUGAUUGUUAUAUUUGGUCAGUGACUGACCUCUAGCAAUGAUGGUGCCAGGGCAACUUUGUUGUUGAACUGUAUGUUAAGGUUUGUUUUGGCUUGUUGGUUAUAUCAGUACUUAUCAAAUGAAUUAUCUGGGAAGAGAGGAGAGGAUCUUAUUAAAAUACAGGUUCUUAUUCAGUAGGCCUUGGGUGGGGCUUGAGGUUCUGCAUUUCUUUCUUUCUCUUUCUUUCUUUUUCUUUCUAUUUCUUUCUUUCUCUUUUUUCUUUCUCUUUCUUUCUUUUUCUUUUUUCUUUCUUUCUCUUUCUUUCUUUCUCUCUUUCUUUCUUUCCUUCCUUUCUUUCUUUCUUUCUUUCCUUCCUUCCUUUCUUUCCUUCCUUCCUUCCUUUCCUUCCUUCCUUCCUUCCUUCCUUUCCUUCCUUCCUUCCUUCCUUCAGACAGAGUCUCACUCUGUAGCCCAGGCUGGAGUGCCGUGGUGCCAUCUUAGCUCACUGCAACCUCUGCCUCCCAGGUUCAAGCAAUUCUCCCACCUCAGCCUCCGGAGUAGCUGGGACUACAGGCGUGCACCACCAUGCUCAGCUAAUUUUUGUAUUUUUAGUAGAAAUAGGGUUUCACCACAUUGACCAGGCUGGUCUCGAACUCUGGAGCUCAAGUGAUCUGCCCACCUCAGCCUCCCAAAGUGCUGGGAUUUCAGGUGGAGCCACCAUGCCCAGCUGAGGUUCUGCAUUUCUAUCAAGCUUGCAGGUGAUGCCCAUGCUGCCAGCCCUUUGAGUAACAAGGGGGCUUUAUUACUGAGCUUGGCUGAACAUUGGAAUCAUCUGUGGAGCUUUAAAACUACUAAUGCUGGGCUCUCAACCCCAGAGAUUGCAAUAUCAUCAGUCUAGAAUGCAGUUUGAGUACUAGGAUUUUGAAAAGCUUCAUAAGUGAUUCUAUUUUGUAGAAAUAUUGAGAACUACUAGAUUGGAUGAUAUUGAAUCCAAUUUUAAAACAAGAUGUAGCAAUAAAUGUUCUUCAGCGCUGUGUUGCUGACUUUUUAGAAAGUCAGUUUUGUAGCUCUAGAAAGAAUCUGGCUGCAUCCAUGGAUGACCUCCAGAUCUCUGCUUAGCAUGACUGGGUAAUUUCUCCAAUGUCUCCAGCACAUGCUGUCACUUAACAGCAGAAAGAGAAUUCCUACUUUCAGGAGAAAAGUCAUUCCUGAAGAUUACAGUUAAAAUAUGCCUACAGAUGAUGAGGUUGUAGUAAAUCAGUCCCCUUGCUCUCUGAGCUUGUUCUAAGUUACAGGAAGCAGAAGAAGCAGAGAAGCACUCCAUUUCUUUUUUCUUGUAAUCUCUAGCAUGUUCACAUGCAUAGUUUCUGAGUCAGUAGCAAACUAAGAACUUCUUGUGUGAUUCAAGCUAACUCCUCGAUUAUCAGAAGCAGAUGUUUCAAACGACUGAAGAUCAGUGAGGCAUAUCCUAUUUACAGGUUAAUAAUUGACUGCUAGAUGCAGGUGCACCAAAUGGUCUUAGAGACAUUAGAUAGGAGAGACAAUGUCAGUGCUCCCCCUACCCUGCCUCCCCUAAUCUAAAGCCUACUCUGUUUCUUUUAUCAAGUGAUUGGCUGUAUGUUAACAGAGCCUGGGGCACUUUCCUGUUGAAAUGCCUUUAAUCCCAAGCAACUGGAUUGAUUUUUUUUUUUUUUUGGAUGGUUUAGAUUGGACGACUGAUUAUUGGACAGAAUGGCGUCUUGUCGACACCUGCGGUCUCCUGCAUUAUCAGGAAGAUCAAGGCAGCUGGUGGAAUCAUUCUAACAGCCAGCCACUGCCCUGGAGGACCAGGGGGAGAGUUUGGAGUGAAGUUUAAUGUUGCCAAUGGAGAUGGAGUCUCGCUCUGUCACCCAGGCUGGAGUGCAAUGGCAUAAUCUUGUCUCACUGCAACCUCUGCCUCCCACGUUCAAGCCAUUCUCCUGCCUCAGUCUCACGAGUAGCUGGGAUGACAGGCACCCGCCACCACGCCCAGCUAAUUUUUUGUAUUUUUAGGAGAGAUGGGGUUUCACUAUGUUGUCCAGGCUGGUCUCGAACUCCUGACCUCAUGAUCCGCCCACCUCAGCCUCUCAAAGUGCUGGGAUUACAUGCGUGAGCCAUCGCACCCAGCCUUAAAUUUGUUUUUUAACUUAGCAUGACAUUAAAUAGCAAAUAAAAAUACCAUGACAAGUCAAGUGAGAGAGAACACAGAAGAAAGGAAAACACCGUAUAUUUGAGCACCUUCAAUGACGCUUUUUCCUGCUCUUUGAACAGAAGCACUGCGUUUUCAUUUUGCCCUGGGCCUCAUGUUACGUAGCCGGUCCUGGUGUUAGGUACCCGGACGCACCACAAACGAAACAGAUUCGUUCCCCACAGAGCUUAUUAGUCUAGUGAGAGAAACAUACUUUGAAUAGUCCCAGAAAUACAUCAUUAUAAGAUAAGUCUAUGAAAGAAGCGUAGAGCAUUCCUAAUCUUGUCUCUGAACAGGGCAGACUUCUUGGAGGAAGUGAAAUUUGAACUGCGAUGUGAAGAAUGAGCAGGAGUUAGUGAGGUGAAGAUGAGAGAAGGAGUGUUGCAAACACAGGUCAGUCUGUGCAAAGGCCCUGAGACACAAGGAGCCUAGAACCACGGCUCGAAGACAACCGUCUGGCUGGGGCAUGGCUCGUCUUACAGAUCACAUUAAGGAACAAAUAAUUAUGUUAAGAGUUAUGGGCUGCCAUUAAGGAUUUGGAUAAGAGAGUCUUACAAUCACAUCUGUGUUUUCUAAAGGCCUGACACUGAUUGGUACAUGGAGUACAGCCUGAAGGGAACAAGACUUGUUAGAAAGGAAGCUAUUGGCUGGGUGUGGUGGCUUGUGCCUAUAAUCCCAGCACUUUGGGAAGCUGAGGUGGGCAGAUUACUUGAGGCCAGGGAGUUUGAGAUCAGCCUGGCCAACACGGUGAAACCCCGUCUCUACUAAAAAUACAAAAAUUAGCGGGUUGUGGUGGUGAGCACCUAUAAUCCCAGCUGCUUGGGAGGCUGAGGCAGGACAAUUGCUUGAACCUGGGAGGCUGAGGUUGCAGUGAGCCCAGACUGCACCACUGCACUCCAGCCUGGGUGACAGAGACUUCCUUUCCAAAAUAAAAUAAAAAAAAAAAGAAAGAAAGAAGAAAGAAAGAAAGGAGGCUAUUGCAGUAAUGCAAGUGAGAGACCAUGGUGGCUUAGGCAAUGGUGGAGAUGGAGGAAUUUGGGGGAAUUGAUUGGGUUCAAGAAAUAGGCAGGAGGAAACACGAUGGAUUGGGUGGGAGUAGGGAAACAGAUGAGAAGAGGUAUCAGGAAUGCUGCCUAGGUUUCUGGUCUGUGCCACUGUGUGGAUGAUGAGGUCAUCUACUAGAGGAUGUGUCAGUGGUGGAGGCCAAGGUCUGAAAGUGGAGGGGGGAAGAGUGAGAGAGAAAAUUGUAAGUUUACCUUUAUGUUCAGCUGAGGUCCUUUCGAAACAUACAAGCAGCAGUAUGAAUAAUUCCAUUGAUAUAUUUGUCCGGGGCCCAGAGUGAGGUUUAAAUAAGAAGAAAUAAACUCUCUAGUAAAAAUUGCAGACACACAAAAGGCUUGAACAGGCACUUCACAAAAUAGAUUAUCCAAAUGACCAAUAAAUACAUAAGUACUCAACAUCAUUAGCCAUUAGAAAAAUGCAAGUUAAAACCACAAUGAGAUACCAUUUCACACUAGAAUGAAUAAAAUUUUAAAAGACUGACAAUGCUAAAUGUUCCCAGGAUGCAGAACAACCAAAACCCUCAUAUAUUAUGGGGGACAUGGAAAAUUGUACAACUCCUUUGGAAAACAAGUAGUUUCUACAGAAUUUCAAUAUAUACAUACCAUACAACUCAGCCAUUGCAUUCCUAUUUACCCAACAGAAAUAAAAUCAUUUGUCUACUGAAAAAUUUGCAAAAUAAUGUUCAUUGCGGCUGUAGCCAUUAUAACCCUCAAACGGAAACAACCCAAUGUGCAUGGAUUGUGAAUAGAUGACAAAUGGUGGUCCAUCUAUACAAUGGAAUAUUGCUCUUCAACAGAA